GACGAACGCUGGCGGCGUGCUUAACACAUGCAAGUCGAACGGGUCUGCCCUGUUUUUUGCGGGGUGGGUCAGUGGCGAACGGGUGAGUAACACGUGAGUAACCUGCCCCUCACUUCUGGAUAACCGCUUGAAAGGGUGGCUAAUACGGGGUGUUCUGGCUGUGCCGCAUGGUGUGGCUGGGAAAGAUUCACUUUUGUGGUGUUUUGGUGGGGGAUGGGCUCGCGGCCUAUCAGCUUGUUGGUGGGGUGAUGGCCUGCCAAGGCUUUGACGGGUAGCCGGCCUGGGAGGGUGGGCGGUCACACUGGGACGGAGAUACGGCCCAGACUCCUGCGGGAGGCAGCAGUGGGGGGUAUUGCACAAUGGGCGGAAGCCUGAUGCAGCGACGUCGCGUGAGGGAUGGAGGCCUGCGGGUUGUGAACCUCUUUCGCCGGUGAAGAAGGUCCUGCUCUUUGUGGGGGGGUUGACGGUAGCCGGGUUAUGAAGCGCCGGCUAACUACGUG
rnacentral:rRNA from 1 species